rnacentral:tRNA from 1 species
GGGCUGCUAGCUCAAUUGGUAGAGCAACUGACUCUUAAUCAGUAGGUCGCCGGUUCGAUCCCGGCGCAGCCCACCA